AUGUGUAUAAGAGACAGGUGAGUCAUCGAAUCUUUGAACGCACAUUGCGCCCUCUGGUAUUCCGGGGGGCAUGCCUGUUCGAGCGUCAUUGCAAACCCCUCAAGCACGGCUUGUGUGUUGGGCCAUCGUCCCCUAUGGACGGGCCUGAAAUGCAGUGGCAGCACCGAGUCCUGGUGUCUGAGUGUAUGGGAAUCUCUAUCGCUCAAAGACCCAAUCGGCGCUGAUGUCAGAUUUUUAUCCAGUUUGACCUCGGAUCAGGUAGGAGUACCCGCUGAACUUAAGCAUAUCAAUAAGCGGAGG
rnacentral:misc_RNA from 1 species